GGUGGUAAACUAUGGAUAAGUGAGUGUGAUUUAAAUUACCCAGGAAAUGACCUACCAUGUGAGGAUUAUAAAAGAGGAUGUGAAUGUACGAUAAAAAGAUGUAAUGGAAUUGGUCAUUGCCAACCUGUUACAAAAGGAUGCACCUACAGAGGGUUUGAUGAUAGAUUAAGUGAUGCAUGUGUACCAGUAGCAUAUGACAGAUGUGAAUGGAAAACAUGUAAUAAAAUGCAGAAACUUCAAAGUGCGACAAACGUGGUACAAGUUCCAUCAGGAAAUGGCAUUUCUGUAGUGUCAGGCCCCAGCGGCUGGCAAGAUCCUUAUUUCGGUUCGUCCAAUAAUAUUCCAGUUAUGCAACCAGUAUAUCCAAUUAAUAAUGGCCAACCAGAUAACAACUACCCGCCGGCUACUCGUGCUUGGCCGGCAACCAGUAGACCUAGGAGGAAUACUGCUGUCCCAUGGUGGUUAGAGCCUAGUCAUUUUGACGAUUAUUAGCUUGGUUUAUAUUUAAAUGUAGAUAAGAAAAUAAAAAAAAACCAUCG